rnacentral:rRNA from 1 species
GACGAACGCUGGCGGCGUGCUUAACACAUGCAAGUCGAACGGAAAGGCCCCUUUGGGGGUACUCGAGUGGCGAACGGGUGAGUAACACGUGAGUAACCUGCCCUUGACUUCGGGAUAACUUCAGGAAACUGGGGCUAAUACCGGAUAGGAAUCCUUGCUGCAUGGUGGGGGUUGGAAAGCUUCGGCGGUUUUGGAUGGACUCGCGGCUUAUCAGCUUGUUGGUGGGGUUGUGGCUUACCAAGGCUUUGACGGGUAGCCGGCCUGAGAGGGCGACCGGCCACAUUGGGACUGAGAUACGGCCCAGACUCCUACGGGAGGCAGCAGUGGGGAAUAUUGCACAAUGGGCGGAAGCCUGAUGCAGCAACGCCGCGGGCGGGAUGACGGCCUUCGGGUUGUAAACCGCUUUCAGCAGGGGCGAAGCUUGUGGUGACGGUACCUGCAGAAGAAGCACCGGCUAACUACGUG